rnacentral:rRNA from 1 species
CCUACGGGAGGCAGCAGUGAGGAAUAUUGGUCAAUGGACGAAAGUCUGAACCAGCCAAGUCGCGUGAAGGAUGACUGCCCUAUGGGUUGUAAACUUCUUUUGUAUGGGAGUAAAAUGUUCCACGUGUGGGACUUUGUAUGUACCAUAUGAAUAAGGAUCGGCUAACUCCGUGCCAGCAGCCGCGGUAAUACGGAGGAUCCGAGCGUUAUCCGGAUUUAUUGGGUUUAAAGGGCGCGUAGGUGGAUUGGUAAGUCAGUUGUGAAAGUUUGCGGCUCAACCGUAGAAGUGCAGUUGAAACUGGCAGUCUUGAGUGCAGUAGAGGUGGGCGGAAUGCGUGGUGUAGCGGUGAAAUGCUUAGAUAUCACGAAGAACUCCGAUGGCGAAGGCAGUUCACUGGACUGCAACUGACACUGAGGCUCGAAAGCGUGGGUAUCAAACAGGAUUAGAUACCCGGGUAGUC